GGGUGAAGUACUCAAGCAUGGAAUGAAGAGGACGCAUUGCAUAACGCGAUUAGGGGUGAUAAAACACCCGCGGAGGUUCGAACCCUCUCUUCCCCGCCA
rnacentral:tRNA from 1 species